CCUACGGGGAGCAGCAGUGGGGAAUAUUGGGCAAUGGGCGCAAGCCUGACCCAGUAACGCCGCGUGAAGGAAGAAGGCUUUCGGGUUGUAAACUUCUUUUGUCAGGGAAGAGUAGAAGACGGUACCUGACGAAUAAGCCACGGCUAACUACGUGCCAGCAGCCGCGGUAAUACGUAGGUGGCAAGCGUUGUCCGGAUUUACUGGGUGUAAAGGGCGUGUAGCCGGGUUGACAAGUCAGAUGUGAAAUCCUGCGGCUUAACCGCAGAACUGCAUUUGAAACUGUUGAUCUUGAGUACUGGAGAGGCAGACGGAAUUCCUAGUGUAGCGGUGAAAUGCGUAGAUAUUAGGAGGAACACCAGUGGCGAAGGCGGUCUGCUGGACAGCAACUGACGGUGAGGCGCGAAAGCGUGGGGAGCAAACAGGAUUAGAUACCCCAGUAGUC
rnacentral:rRNA from 1 species